rnacentral:rRNA from 1 species
GAUGAACGCUGGCGGCGUGCCUAAUACAUGCAAGUCGAGCGAACGGACGAGAAGCUUGCUUUUCUGAUGUUAGCGGCGGACGGGUGAGUAACACGUGGAUAACCUACCUAUAAGACUGGGAUAACUUCGGGAAACCGGGGCUAAUACCGGAUAAUAUUUUGAACCGCAUAGUUCAAAAGUGAAAGACGGUCUUGCUGUCACUUAUAGAUGGAUCCGCUCUGCAUUAGCUAGUUGGUAAGGUAACGGCUUACCAAGGCAACGAUGCAUAGCCGACCUGAGAGGGGGAUCGGCCACACUGGAACUGAGACACGGUCCAGACUCCUACGGGAGGCAGCAGUAGGGAAUCUUCCGCAAUGGGCGAAAGCCUGACGGAGCAACGCCGCGUGAGUGAUGAAGGUCUUCGGAUCGUAAAACUCUGUUAUUAGGGAAGAACAUAUGUGUAAGUAACUGUGCACAUCUUGACGGUACCUAAUCAGAAAGCCACGGCUAACUACGUG